CCUACGGGAGACAGCAGUGGGGAAUAUUGGGCAAUGGGCGCAAGCCUGACCCAGCAACGCCGCGUGAAGGAAGAAGGCUUUCGGGUUGUAAACUUCUUUUGUCAGGGACGAAGCAAGUGACGGUACCUGACGAAUAAGCCACGGCUAACUACGUGCCAGCAGCCGCGGUAAUACGUAGGUGGCAAGCGUUAUCCGGAUUUACUGGGUGUAAAGGGCGUGUAGGCGGGGAUGCAAGUCAAAUGUGAAACGCACGGGCUCAACCUGUGGCUGGAAUUUGAAACUGUUUUUCUUGAGUGCUGGGGAGGCAAUCGGAAUUCCGUGUGUAGCGGUGAAAUGCGUAGAUAUACGGAGGAACACCAGUGGCGAAGGCGGAUUGCUGGACAGUAACUGACGCUGAGGCGCGAAAGUGUGGGGAGCAAACAGGAUUAGAUACCCUGGUAGUC
rnacentral:rRNA from 1 species